GUAGAUCCCGGUUCUAACUCGUUUAUUUAUUCAUUCAACAAACACUCACCACUUACUGUGUGCCAAGUACUGCCCCAAGUAUUGGUAUAAGAAGAUGAGUAUGACACAGUGCCAGCCGCCAAGGAGCUCACCAUCUACCUGGGGAGACAAAUAGGGUACCAUGCACAAGACCUUCAGCCCUUGAUUGUGGAUCGCCUGAUGUCUUCUCUGCUGCCUCCUUCUGUACUUGUGGCACCUACUGGCAGUUUUGGAUCCAUGGAGAUGGAGAAAGAGGACUCCCCAAGGGAAGAAUGAAGGAGGGAAGUGGCCAAGGCCCCUGCCAGGACCUUUGCGUGUGUUAUUUCACUCCAGCCUCACCACCUGUGUCACCCCCGUAUUACAGAGGAAGAAAUGGUCUCAGAGAAGGUAUGAGUGUGGUGGGAGCUCAGCACCAAACCCUAUCACCUUCCUUCUGUCAGGCAGCUGUCAUCACCCCCACAGGCCUUUUCUUCACAGCUUGUUGUCAGGAGGCUGGCCAACAUCUUGGGAAGGUCUGAUGGAAAUAACACUGCUCCGGCACCCGGAGACCUGGCUGUGGCCCAGCCUCAGCUGCACGUCAGCGGCAUGGCCCUGGAGACGACCCUGUGGGAGGCGACUGUCUGCUACGGCGGAAGCCCGGGACACCCCUUCCUCGGGGAGCCUUUCCUUUCUCCUCUGGUGGCGAGGCUGAUGCCUCCUCCCUGACUUGGUGAGGACUGAGUGAAGUGGGAUAUGUGCUGUGCCUUGGAAACCGUCAAAUACUACCUAAAGUCUAGUGUCUUCAGUGAACUUCAGCCCCAUCCUGUGGCCUCCAGUUGUGUGAUACUAUCAGAUGGCCCCUUGCUGCUGGAGUGGAUGUUCUUGGCAAUGAAAAGAAGAAGUGGGGGCAAAGAUGAAGUAUGGGGCCUAGAUGCUUCUAGCAGUUUAGAUGGUGACUUCUCAGGAACUUGUUGUUAACUACUCUGCACCCCCUGCAUUGAUUAGAUUCUGGUUCUCUGGGGCCAGUUUCUUCCUGCUCUCUGGAGCCCCAGCUUCGCACCUGGCUGACUCACCUUUUGCACUGAGUUCAGCACUGGAGAUGGAGAGGGGUUGGGGAGGAGAGGAGAAAUUUUAGUGCUGUAUGAAUUCAGUUGGAAAAAUAAUCAUACAGGAUUUAAGCAAAUCUCAUAUUGCCCCUGGAAUGGUUUUAGGUUUUUUUAUAAAACCCAACCAGCGUCAGCUGAUGCCCCAUCUCUUCAAGGUCAAACAUUCCAAGAUUCUAGAGGGAGCAAAGCUGUGUUCCCAGAUUUGUCUAGAAGCCCUUUCUCCCCCCUCACCUUAACUGACGCCUGGAUGGUCCCCAUGAGGGAUUUCUUUUGCAGCCUCUCCCAAGCCUCCCAUUUGGAGAGUGGGGCUGCCCAGUUCCUUCUCUCCUGGUGUCACUUUGAGAUUACUGCUCAGAGGAACUCAUUCUUUUCUCAAGAGACUGUUUUCUUUUAAAGUUCACAAUGUUCAUUUUUUUCUUUGUGUGCUGCAAGGAGAACUCUGAUUCUGACUGAAAUUCUGCCAAUUAGAAAGAUUGUUUUCCAAUCGUCCUGAAAUUUUUCAGAGUUGCUCAAAGUGUUGGGAAAAUUGGAUACCAGAAUUUUUAGAUCCCUGGCCGACCAAGAGGCAUGGGCAGAAGGUGACCUGGUCUUCAGAGCUCUCACAAGAUCUCUGAGAGAGACCGGUAUGACAGUCCUUGGGGACUUUCCCCCUUUAUAAAUGCUGUGUUCAUUUUUUAAUAAGAUAUUUGACAUAUAUAAAAAUAAAAUAUAAUGUAUGUAAGGUGAAAAAAAUACUCCUGGACCACUCGCCCAACUUGAGAAAUAGAAUGUUGCCGGAAUGAUAAAGCAGCCGCGGGCGCUUGCUGCUGGUUGUCCCCUCACCACGAGGGACAUGUGUGUCUGUUGUUCCCUUGCCUGUCAUUGCAGUUUGAAAGCGUGUUUAGUAAAAUGAAUAUAUUUGAUAAUUUUGUGUGCAUUUGAACUUUAUGUGAAUAGUAUCACACAGGGUAAUUUUUUGUGCCUUCUGUUUUUCAGGUUCAUCUGAAUUGAUGCCGUUAGCCAUAGUUAAUUCAUUUUUGCUGCUGAAUAGUAUUCCGUUAUAUGACUAUGCCACACUUUUUUUACCGUCCCCUGCCUGUGUACAUUUGGCUAUUUCCCAUUAUGCUAUUGAUAGUAAUGCUGCUGUAAAUAUUCUUGGCCAUGUUUCCUGGGCACGUGGACGAGAUUUUCUCCUGGGUCACAGUAUUUCCUUUUACCAUUUUCUCUAUAUUCUCAUCUUCUCUGCUAGGAUUCUCUCCUUCUUCAGUGAUGUCAUUUCUGGUUAUUGUCCUCAGAGACUCUGCUGCACACACCGAUGGUAUAAACGUAAACAAGCCACAGUGCCUUUCCUUGGUCCGCUCCAGGGUGGCGGAAUAACUGAUCACAGCAGUCACGUUGUGACCCACUUGAAACCCCGACGCUGGAUUCUUGGAGGUCAGCUCGCCUGUCGUGCCGUCUUCCCCUCUCUCCUGGUCACCACGGCUCCUCCCUGCCUAAAGUCUCUAUCUUUACUUAUUCUUUUCACAGCACCCCCGCUUUUGGGUCCCAGGCAUUCUCCGCAUUCCAAGUCAGAUCUUUUCCCCGUCCUCAUGAUUCUAUCCCAUGGCCAAGUCCCUCAAUCUCCCCUUCACAUAUUUUCAUUUUCAGUCCAUAGUUUUUCUCUAAGCCCACCAAACUUGGUGGGGGUUCCCCAUGCCCCUCAAAUCCCCAACAUCUUUGAUUUUUUCUCUUAGACGACUAUCUCGCCUCUGCCUUUCCCUGAAGAACUUUGCUGCUUUUACCAACGUCUCUCAUCAUUUGACUUCUGCCCCAGCCUCUGUGGAAGAUGCCCUCUCAGAGCUCACCAGUGACCUCCCAAGGAUCAAGGCUGAAGGCUGUGUCAUUGUCCUUCCUCACCUGGCUGCACCCCUGCCCUCUGAAACUCCUUCUUUGCGUGUGGCACAUACUAGACACUCAGCAAUAUUUGCUGAAUGAAGUGGAAGAAGGCAAAGCUGGGAAACGGCAGAGGCAGGACUCGAAGUCAGGACUUCUUACUCCUAUUCCCGUGUGCUCUCACUGACCUUCCCCCAAAGCCGCAAGCACAUUGAGUCAGUUGUGCAGGUUGUCAUCUACUGUCUCGUGGCCGUGGACUGACCCUGAGAGUGAGAUUUAUUGCCUGGUAUUAGAAAAGCUUUAGAUUCCAGCUCCUCUCAAAGGAGUUGUGCAAAGAAGGGACUAAAGGACGUCAGAAAACAGUGGGCAUGUGGAAGACUCUGAGGCUGAAGGCAGGAAUCUUCCAAGACCCCAUCAAAAGCAAAAUGAAAACUCUUUUUAAAAGCUCAGUAAAAAGAGAAAGACACUUAAAAAAUUGAUAUUAACGUGAUCCCCAGGCUGUGUUUAUUGAAACAAUCUUAGGUCCAUAAUCAAAACAAUGUUUUAUCAUUUCCCCUCCAGGCUGGUCACAAGCUACAAACUGGAUCAUUUGACACAUCUCUUGUGCACUUGAAACUCAAAUUGAAACUCUGCCAUUUUAACUGUACAAAGAAAAAUAACUUUUCAAAGCCCCACAUAUAUAUUUUUCUGAUUCAUCCUUUUGAUAUUUUACUUGGACCAAAACCCAAAUUCACUUGGUUUUCUCCAAGCACAUAUUUGGGCUACUUCCAUCAUUGUUCUUGGAAAUGGUUUUUCCUUUUGACAUACUGUAUGUUCAGUAUACAACCUGGUCAACACCGUCACAGGCCACGGCACUGACUCCCUCGUGGGCUGUCAGGAGCAUCUCAAAAAGAUUAUGUCUCCACUUAGGCUCAUCAGCUGCUUGUUUUGCAAUGUUCAGGAAAACACGUGUGUGUGUGUUUAUGUGUUUAUGUCAGCGUGAGUUUUGUGUCUGCUGGGGGAAAUGCUGGGUUAGCAUGUUUUUCAGAGUUUGGAGAAUUUCUGUGGCUUAUUUGCUGAUAUGAAUAAAAGUCAGAACAUGUUUUGGGAA
rnacentral:lncRNA from 1 species